UGGGGCUUAGCCAAGAGGUAAGGCACCGGAAUUUGACUCCGGCAUGCCCAGGUUCGAACCCUGGAGCCCCAGCCA
rnacentral:tRNA from 1 species